rnacentral:rRNA from 1 species
AAUAAACGCUGGCGGCGUGCCUAACACAUGCAAGUCGAGCGGGAAAGUCCUUCGGGAUAAGUACAGCGGCGGACGAGUGAGAAACGCGUGAGAAUCUACCAUUCAGUGAGGAAUACCUCCGAGAAAUCGGGGUUAAUACUGCAUACGUCCCUCCGGGGAGAAAGAUGGCCUCUUUGCUGUCGCUGAUUGAUGAGCUUGCGUACUAUUAGCUUGUUGGUGAGGUAAAGGCUCACCAAGGCGAUGAUGGUUAACCGGCCUGAGAGGGUGUUCGGUCACGUUGGAACUGAGACACGGUCCAG